AACUGGUCCAAAGGUAGUAAGUUAUCUCGAUUAUUCACAGUUACAGAUUAAACUCUUGUUCUAUCCUUCCCCCCUUCUGACUACUGCACUUGACUAGUCUUAA
ensembl:Y_RNA Y_RNA Y RNA